GAUACCUAUCAUUGCCAGAAAGAUGGCUGCAGUGUAAGAAGAUACCAUGCCUGUUUCCGGAUUACUACCUAACAGCCAAUUUGCAAGCACCUGGCUUCCAAUUAAUGAUGCUGACUCAAAAAAAGUCAUUAACCAAAAUGUGUCACUCAAAGUAUCUUGUCCGUGUCCUUGCUUUUCAUUUUCGACAACUACCCAUGCCUCGAAACUGAAUGAAAAUAUUGAGGAGGCAAGAGACAAACAUAUACUUGCUAACCAGAUGCUAGGAUGUGGCAUAAUCCUCUUCCAUAUGCCAACACAGAGGUGUAGGAUGCAAAAGAUCAAACAAGCUUUAUUGUGUCCUAUUAAAUCAGAGAUCAUCCCUAAGAAGGUACCAACAAGAAGAGCAGCUCCAUAUCCAACACAAAGAGACGUUACCAUCUCCUCCUUGCUAACUCCAUAGUAAGCCAAUUCAAACUCUCCAAACACCGACGAGAGCCCUUCCAUCACUGAAG
rnacentral:misc_RNA from 1 species